rnacentral:ncRNA from 1 species
AAAAAGACUUUGAUAGAGACAGUAGUUUAUCAGUGAACGUUUCAGAGAGCUUGACGUUGGUGGGAGUCGGGUAUUAGUAGCAGAUAUAUGAAAAUCACUCUGGAGUUGCAGCCCGAAAUGUUUUUUGACUUUUGUAGUUUAUAUUAAUGUAGGCGCUGACGGUUUCUCCCGUUACAGAGAACACAUAUAAAGGGAAUUCCCGAGUAUGCUGUUAAAGGUGGUAUAACGAAAAUUCAGGCUUUCGUCCUUAAC